AACGCACCUUGCGCUCUCUGGUAUUCCGGAGAGCAUGCCUGUUUGAGUGUCAUGAACUCUUCAACCCGCCGGUUCCUUGUUGGAUCGAGUUGGUGUUUGGAUUUUGAGCGCUUGCUAAUUUAACUAUAGCUCGCUCGUAGUACAUUAGCAUCUCAAUUUUGAUAUUCGGAUUGACUCGGCGUAAUAGACUAUUCGCUGAGGACACUAGUAAUAGUGUCCGAAUAUGGAAAAAGCUAGAAGCUUCUAAUCAAUCUAGUCAACCUAAGAUAGACCUCAGAUCAGGCAGGAUUACCCGCUGAACCUAA
rnacentral:misc_RNA from 1 species